rnacentral:pre_miRNA from 12 species
CCAAGCAGCCCCGUGGCUCCAGAAAUCAAGGGUGGGUGAGACCUCGUGCACAAACCCUAAGGCGACCCAUACUUGGUUUCAGGGGCUGCGGGGUCUCGUC